GACGAACGCUGGCGGCGUGCUUAACACAUGCAAGUCGAACGGAAAGGCCCUGCUUUUGUGGGGUGCUCGAGUGGCGAACGGGUGAGUAACACGUGAGUAACCUACCCUUGACUUUGGGAUAACUUCAGGAAACUGGGGCUAAUACCGGAUAGGAGCUCCUGCUGCAGGGUGGGGGUUGGAAAGUUUCGGCGGUUUGGGAUGGACUCGCGGCUUAUCAGCUUGUUGGUGGGGUAGUGGCUUACCAAGGCUUUGACGGGUAGCCGGCCUGAGAGGGUGACCGGCCCCAUUGGGACUGGGUUCCGGCCCAGACUCCUCCGGGGGGCAGCAGUGGGGAAUAUUGCACAAUGGGCGGAAGCCUGAUGCAGCAACGCCGCGUGCGGGAUGACGGCCUUCGGUUUGUAAACCGUUUUCGCCUGUGACGAAGCGUGAGUGACGGUAAUGGGUAAAGAAGCACCGGCUAACUACGUG
rnacentral:rRNA from 1 species